rnacentral:lncRNA from 1 species
AUGAAUUUCUCUAAUUGCUACUUAAUUGAUCCCUUACCUUAUUUUGUUAAGCUUUUUGAUUACAAUAUAAACUCCCUCUUAGUUUAACUUCAACAACGAACAAUGGUUCAAAACUACUACUUUUUACACUCUAAAAGGCUCUCUCUCUACUCUCUGUGCUACUUGUUAUCCCUGUUAUUCUAGCCGACUGCAAGCCAAGAUUGGGAAUUGCAUAAUACCUUGCUCACAUCUUGUGUUUUCUUUCUUUAACUAGGUAUGCUCCUGAUUAAUUUUUGAGAAUCAAAACCUAUGUGUUUACUUACUGCUUUAGUUCAUAUGGCUUGAGUUUAUUCUUGCUCCUGUUUACUGCUUACCCAGCCUGCCUAAUACUGCCUAUUCAAAUCUAUGACCAGAAUGUUUCCACUCUACUUAUUUGUUUGUUAUUUUAUUUGACAUGUCUAAAUAUGUAACUGGCCUGUUUGACUGACUUCUAUUUAUAUAACAUGCCUAUACUAUGCCUUUGUGUAAUUAGCAUGCCAUCACCUGUCUUUGCCUGUUCUGCCUCACUCCUGCUAAGUUAAUUACUCUCCCUAGAAUGGCCUCAACAUGUUUCUACUGUGACUUUUGCUACAUGCUAUAUAACCUACUAGUUCUAUAGAACCCUUCAAAACUCUAUGGAUCAUGGUGUUUGUAUGCUCAAUUGAGAUGUAUUCUCUAUGUUCCCAACCCCUCUUCCUUUGUGUGAAAGAUGUUCUUAAAGCUUGUUUUGUUCUAUGACUUGUGCUUAGAUUGAAAAUUGUUUCUUUACACUCUCCUCAAAGUGUUUUAUAACUAAGUCAGUACUGGUUUUUCAGAAAUUCUUUUCAAUACCGAGGCAUAUCUUUAUACUGUCUAUUAAACUCUUUCAAACCACUAUACAUUUUCACUUACUCUUAGAACACUAGGUCCUGCCCCUAUAAUAUAUGUACUGCCUUGAGAUCCUUAAGAUCUCUCUGAGCUCUAGCAUGUCAAGGCUGGUCUUUCCACACUGCACCUAAAUCAGUUAUUAUUUGAGAAAGGUUUAGGCGUGAGCACUGCCCGGGAUCCUUGAAGUCCUUAGGGAACUCUAACAUACCUAGACAUGGAAUUGGCUAUGAACUUUGGUCAUUUCAGACUACUGGAGGCUUGGAAGUCAUUUGGGCCUACUUCAGGCUCCCUAUAGAUUAAUUUCUGUUUUAUUUAUGUAAUUUUUAUUUAAUUCAUUGGUCUGUAAUAUUUUUUGUAAACAAACAGUGGGGUGAUUUGUGAAAAAGGAAGGGUAGUUAUAGAUUGUGGGUAAAAUUGGGUAGAUACCAUGCCUAUAGGGUCCAUGUUGGUUCAAAUAUGUUUGUUAUGUUUGUGUUACUUCCACACAGUUAGAAACCAUGCCUAUAGGAUCUAAACUGGCUUUAAUAAUAGAGAUCCUGCCUAUAGGGUUAAAAUCAGCUCUAUAGAAAUCAUGCCUAUAGGGGUUUCACUUUGGUUAAAUGAAGGUUGUUUGUUUUAUCCUUCUUAAUUAGAAAUCGUGCAUAUAAGACUUCAAAUAGUUCAGUUAGAAAAGUCAGUUUAAUUCAUGUUUAUAUAUUCUGAAUUGGUUCAGUUAACUAAUCUGUCUUUAACAAGUCUCCAACGCUGCCUUAAGUAACAUUGUUAUAAAUCAUGCCUAUAGGAUCCAAAUUGUUGUUUAAAUUGUUUUACUGUUUUACUGCAUUCCUAAUCAAUAUAGAUAUCAUGCUCAUAGGACAUCACUAUUAUGCGCCUAGGAAAUCCUCUAGGGCGAUUAAAAUUCUGCAAACAAUAAAAAUGCACCUUGUUAUUUGAGACUGCUCACAUUCAACAGGUUUAAGAUCAGUAGGCAAGCUGAAUAGGUCUUUGACACUUUGGUUCUAAUUCAAUACUGUAUAAUCUCUGCUCACCUAGAUAUCAUGUUUUAGGGUUUUCUCUUAACUACUUGAAACUUUUGUUUGAGAUGUACACUUACUCGUUAUAUUUGUGGAGGUGAAUGUGAGCCUGUAAUUGUUCUCUUUGAAUGCAGUCCUAAUUGUUUUGAUUGGCGCUUAGACUUUUCUCCUUUAAAUACCUUAGGAUGGUCUAGAACUACCUAAAUUAGAGGUCCUAAAUACCUCCAGGGCCACGAGGAAGGGAUGGGUAGUGCACGCAUAGGGUAUCUUUCAAGGUUGCUAGAACGCUUUAGGCUAUAACCAUGGGGAGGGAAUUGGUUAGUAAGAAAUAUGAUGACUACGUGAUAAUGUCACGUGUAGCUCCUCGUUGAGGAGUGAUUGCCGGGCAUUGUGUGGGUGCGAUCCUCUAGGCCAACCAACCUAUGACCCCUCUUUCCCAACUCCCGUUGUUUAAAUGAGUUUGUUUUUUCUUUACAUAAGCACAAGUUAUUAAAAUUUCUCUCUUGUUCCAUUAGUUGAGUCAUACAUGUGUUUAAAAUGUCAAAACAUGUCUUUGCUUGCAAAUACGUGUUAAAACUAUUUAUUUGUAAAAAUGACUAAUUCACAUAGUUUAAGUUCGGACGGGACCCACCAUUGUGGACUGCGAGGGGCGCCUAACACCUUCCUCUCAAGGUUAUUUCGAGUCCUUACCUUAAAUCACUGGUAAUGCAAACUAGUCCAUGAGUCAAUUGCUCAAGGUGACUUAACGCACCAUAAUCUGUUAGGUGACGGCUCUUCAAAUACCCAAUUCCAAAAAGGAAACGAGUCAUUCCCCCCCAUGAAUGUCAAAACCCGGACAUCCCCGUCAAAAAGGGAAAAAAGGGGCGAGACAGCAUGGCGACUCUACUGGGAAUAUUUUUUAGGUUCUUACCAUAACGAACUUAUCUUUUGAGAAUUAGUUCAAGCAUGCUCUAUCCCACGUACCCUUUCCCCUUAUUUUAAUUUAACUAUUUAUUUUCAAGAAUUUAUGAUUUCUUUUCCUGAAACUGACUUGUCUCCUUGUUUUCUUUUUCUAUAACUGUCUCUUCAAAUUUAAAUACUGCAUUUAUUAUUAUUGUUUUACGUGCAAAUACUUGACAACAUGCUAUUUAUUGCUGCAUAAAUCAUGCUCAACAUCAUACUCCACUCGUGCGUAAUUAAUCUUAUAGUAACGCUUGAUGGGUGUUUGUGCUCUUUCUAUAUAUCACUCUUUAAAUUCGGAAAGGCGUAUUUACAGUAAAACUAGUCGAUCAGCGGUGCGUUUGACGGUUAUGUGCCUUUCCCCCUCAAGUUGUCCGCUUGAGGGUCCCAGUGUAGACUUCUAUAGCAACCUUACUCUGAUUAAAUUGUACAUGCAUCAUGGUCAAACCUAGCCGGGUUAAUGUGUGACCCUUUAAGACAAGCCUUGUCCCAAGUCAAUCGGGUUUUCCAUAAUCCCAACGGACAUAACCACGAUUAUGUGCAUUAAUUCGGAGAAAUAAGUGCCAAUAUGCUAAUCAUUACUGUAAAAAUAGACGAGCCUGGAGGGAGAGGGGCCUAACUCUAUUUGUUUUUGUAGAAAAUGAGGCACGAGGUCCCCAGAUUUGGUAUGGUUAGCACACCCUCAUUUUUACAAGAAUAGUGGAAGGAUCUUCCUUCAUGUGACCAAAACCAUAUGAAACGAGUCCUAGGAAACUUGCCUUCUCUGAUGGAUUUUCAACUCAACAAAAUGUUGAUCGAGGCUGCAACUAUGUUUUGGGACAAGGAAAGGGUUGUGUCCGUUUUAGGAACAUAUAAAUGACACCCUUCUAGAAGAAAUAGGAGGAUAUGUUGGGUUACCUUGGGAUAGUCCUAAUCUGUUAGCACCUGAAAAUCGCACUGCUAGGGGAUUUCUGAAGAUGAUAGGGCUGAAGAAAAAUGACAACUUGAAAUGCCUAAAGGACUCCUACAUACCUUUUGAGUUCCUUUAUGAAAGAUACGGUUACAGCAGCUCCUACCGUCUUUUUGAUGAUGAGUUCUCAAUCACUUAUUUGGGUUGGAUUCAUCGUAGGGUCUUCGUGUUUAUUAUGUGUUUCUUGGGCAUGUUGGUGUUCCCAAUCCAAGGGGAUAUGAUCCAUACUAGGCUGGCCAUGGUAACAAAAACUCUGAUGGACGGGAUCGAGGGAGAGACAUACACUAUCCUCCCUAUGAUUGUUGUAGACAUGUACUGGGCUUUGGAGCGAUGUCAGAAGGGGUUCAGGUUCUUCGAGGGUUGUAACUUGCUGCUACAGGUCUGGUUGUUGGAGCUUCUCCAAAAGGGGCAAUACCGUCAAGAAUUUCCGCGAAGGCCGUGAAAUGAUCACAUAGCCUUCAAUCAUCCCAGAAGAAUGAACUAUAUUCCAGACAUGUUUGCUCAGCAAGAGGACACUGCAGGAUGGGUACAACGUUUUUAAAAUUUGACUAAGGAUCAAGUCCAGCGGAUGUUCGAGUGGUUCCCUACCGAUGAAUUCAUCAUCAGAUCCAGGAAUUUUUCGCACUUGGUGUUGAUCGGGUUAAGGGGCAUAUACCCUUACGCUCCUCUCAGGGUUAUGAGGCAAACAGGAAGGAGACAAAUCGUACCACUGGUCGCCAAAAUAUGUCACUUUAGAGCUAAUUUCCAAGGUGACGCCAUCCCGUAUAAGAAUGAAGCGCAACACAUGUGGACCUUGAAGAUCAUUGUGAAGAAGGAUACUAUUGAGCCAGACCGAUAUCACGCGGGACACUCUUACCUUUGCCCUUCGUGGUUGGAGGACAACAUAACUGGUGUCGUUUAACCAAGGGCUAGCCCAGGAAACAGGGUUAUAGAUGAGGUUGCUGAAGUAGAGGUAAAGUACAAUAAGUUGCAAAAAAGAGUUCGAGAGUUUGAAGCCGAGCAUAUGGCACUGCACAAGGCUGAUAUGGAGAUGAUUAACGAAUGGAAAGAAAAAGCUGUUAAAUCCAGCAAGAGGCUGGAAUACCUGGAAUACAGUUUAAUGUAGUUGGAAGGGAAGAUGAGAAAAAGGGUUACUGACUGCCAGAACGCUGAAGGGAAUGAAGGAGGGCAACUUGCAAGGGCAUUCCUGCUGCUGAAUCUGUGCGAGAUGGGAGAAUUGAUCGACAAGAACAUCCAGUCUGGAGAGGGUCCUUCUGGGACCAAGUAGAUUAGAUUUGCUUUCCUUUCAAAUGUAAUAAGCCCAUGAUCCAUUAGUAACACUAUCUUAUUUAGUUUCGUUUUGGUUCGUUUAUUUUUACUUUAAUGAAAUGAGGCAAUUAUUGGCACUAAGUUUCUCUAAAUUUAUUUGUCGCUAGGCCUACCUCGGGCACAACAAGGCUCCCAAAUUAGGACACGAAUUUAUAUUCUCGCAAUAUGUGUUUAAAAAUUACAAACAUUUCAAAAUCCUUACUGACUUAUUUACCUUUUCGUUUUUCUUUAUUUCUUAUUUCCAUCUCCUGAGGUUGGUUCGCUCAUACUGGUCGUCACACCUCCUUUUUAUCACCCGAGGGGGUAUAGGGGAAUUUUUCCAAUUUAAGUGACAAUCGAAACGAGAUUAUUUAUUUAAAGUUCAGAGUCGGCACUUGGGAUAGUUUAUUGGGGUCCCAAGUCACCGGUUUAGAAUUCCGAAUCGAGGAAAGAUUGACUCAGUUUUAUAGUCUACGAAUACAAAAAUUCAGGUAAGAAAUUUUGUUAACCCGGGAGAAGGUGUUAGGCAUUCCCGGGUUCCGUGGUUCUAGCACGGUCGCUCAACUAUUACAUUGACCUAAUUAUCUGAUUAAUUACACAUUUUAAACCUACGUGCAUUUUUAACUUUAAAACUGCUUUUAAUUAUUAAAGGAAUUAUUUCAAGGUUAUUUAUAACACAUCGCAAGCCACGCUACAUGAAAUGCACCCGUGAUUCAUGACACUUUCUAUUUAACCUUGUUGGAAAUUAGAACCGGGUCACAUGAAAUGUACCUCCGGAUUUAGCAUGUUUAUUUCUAUUAUUAUUAUUUAAAAUUAUGAUAUGGUCACAUAAAAUGCACACCUGGAUUUUAGUAAUUACAAAUCACAACUACGUCACGGGAACCAUACCCGUAUUCAUGAUAAUUUAUUUAGACGCGUCUAAAGCAAGCUACGAUGUUCAUAAGUAUUUUCUAAAGCUAAUUUAAGAUUAUUAUUGUAAGAUCAUGAACUAUGGAAUUAUUUAGAAGAAGUGUAGUAAAUUAGUUAUGGAAAGGUGGGCUAGCUUAAUCCUAAAAAAGAAAUAAAUCUAGAAAGGUUCAUUUGACCCAACUCUAUUAAAAAUAACAUGAUAAAAAUUAAUCCCAAAACCACUGAAGCAAAUCGAAUCAGCCCCAAAACUUUUACAAACCACUAAUAGUGACUACAUUAUAUAAAUGUAUUAGACAAAUUCAUGAUACUAGUACUAAUAAAAUACGAUUCUGGCAAAAAUUGAAGAAUAAAGUAAUACUAAACAAAUGGAAAAGAAAGGAAAUUAAGACAAAUUCAAAAAGGACAAAUCACCAUUUAAAAUAUGCUAAAGGAAAAUACACGGUUGUAUGCUCAGCGCUAGAAAAUGUUGUCAUGAGAAUUAAAAUAUGUAAAAUACCUCAAAUAUCUGAUUCGGCCAAUCAUUUGUAGUCAAUAAAAGCUUGUGAUGGUGAUGAAGAAUUGCAAGACAUUUUCCUGCCGGCUUUCAUUUCAGAAUUUCAAUCACUUAUGCGAAAGUUGAACGGAUCGUAUGACCGCCGAAAAAUUGACCUUACGGAUACGAGAACGGUGGCAGGCGUACUCAUCUUUGAGCUUUGCUUUUUCAAGAACUCAGAAAAUUAAUAGUACAUAGACACAAUAUAUAUAUGUAAAAAGACAAAGAGAAAACAGAAGCUCAAGAAACUGAGGUAUCAGAAAUUCUUGGAAAUGAAAAGACAAAAAAAAAUUGAAACUUUAUGCCAAAGAAUUGGCACUUGCACUGCAGGAAAGCAAGAAAGCAUGAAAAAUAAGAAAAAAGGGGUUUGGUUUUUCGUCCGAAACUUGGCUUCAGAAAUUAGAGAUCGAAAGAUUUUUUGUUCAAUCUUUCUCUUUCAAGUUUUUGUAUCUCUUUUGGAGUACUACCGUUCUUGCUUUUGGAUUUAGGUUCGCCGUUUUUUCUUUUUUUUAGUCUAGGUCUAGUAAUUGAAAAACAUAGGGUAGGGUUUUUAUAAUUGGGUAUUUUAUAUGAAGGUGAGA